rnacentral:ribozyme from 1 species
AACUUGAGGACAUGAUGGGCGGCAACCAGAUAUUUGCCUUAUAAAAAAGGAAAGUAGAUAAACAAGAAGAAGAGAAAAGGAAGUAGGAGGUAACAUUUCCACCAAGUGUUGACCAAAUUGUUCGUUUUCCUU